rnacentral:rRNA from 1 species
UAAGUAGGUGGUGGAACAACAACCAAAUAGGAUUGCUCAAGUAAUGGCGAAUGAAUGAGCACACAUUCAACAUGAAAAACAAAUUGUUAUGAUCUUGUAUUGUAAUUUCAUGAUGCAGCAUUAAUGGAACUGCAUGAAAAGAUAUUCUUGAAACGGCAUGUCAAAGAUGGUGAAAGCCCAAUGGGUUCAUGUGCUUUCUGUGCACGGUCUGCAUUUGGUGAUUCACAUUCCUUGGCAAUGGAAUGCAAACAGGUGGUAAAUUCCAUCCAAUGUAACAAUAUAACAUUGAGUCUGAUAACAAACAAGUACCAUGAGGGAAAUAUGAAAAGGACUUUGGAAAGAGAAUUAAAAGAGUUUGCAUUUGCUUGGCAUAAAACAAAUUAAUGUUGUCAUGGCCAAAAGAUUGUUGCAUUCCUGGGUGUGUGCCAACAUUGCUCAGCAAGUGUAAUGCUUCUUUCCCCCACAAAGCUGUUGCAUUCAUGGAUCAUUCUUGUUUGGUGCUGGCAAUAUGUGUUGCAUAGUGGUGCUCUGUUUGCAUUUCUGAUUUCUGAUGUUAUGCGCACGCCUUUUGAAGCUGGACAGACAUGGCUGGGUGGUUUGUGUAUCUUCUUGGAGGAGUGGCUUGUGUGCUGACAAAGAAGGUUGCUKACCC